CAUGUCAGAAUUCCUUAUUUUAUAAUUAUUUUCUCUAUAUUUAUCCUUGUAAGUACCCUAUACAUUUGUUUUAAAAGCCGUUUUUGUGUUAAUCGUCCUCACUAGCUUGAAUGUUGUAUGGAAAAUGUUCCAGGAACCAAAAAAGUGACAGGAAUUAGCACCUAAUACUUCUGUCGUUAGCAACUCUGGCCAAAGCUUUGGAAUUCCUUUGAUGCCGUUCUUAUGCCUGGUCUAAGGGAGUGUUUAGGGUGACAAGCUUUAUUUGAGAGGAGAGUUGGGCCUUUGCCCUGUCCCACAGUCACAGUUGGGGGUUGGUUACAAUAGAGAAGCACUGCCAUGCUGCCAUCACCAUGACGAGCUCUGGCUCAGAGGACUGUGUCCUGGUCCAGAAAGACGCCGCUUUCUGUCUGUCUCACUGACUGGGGUGUCCUGAGUCGCUCCAAAAAGAGGAGUCAAGGCUCUUUUUGCCAGCUGCUGUCACUCAUCUGUCCUGCCUCUUACAGCACUGACGCUCAUCCCACUAUCUGUUAAAACCUGGCCGAGGCCAGCCAGCUUUCACUACUGUAAUCAACUGCAGGAUUUGUGAAUGG